rnacentral:rRNA from 1 species
AUUGAACGCUGGCGGCAGGCUUAACACAUGCAAGUCGAACGAGUGGCGGACGGGUGAGUAAUGCUUGGGAACCUGGCUUAUGGAGGGAGAUAACGAAGGGAAACUGUCGCUAAUACCGCGUAACAUAGGAUGAGCCCAAGUGGGAUUAGGUAGUUGGUGGGGUAAAGGCCGACCAGGCUGACGAUCCCUAGCUGGUCUUAGAGGACGACCAGCCACACCGGGACUGCGAGACGGCCCGGACUCCUACGGGAGGCAGCAGUGGGUAAUCUUACGCAAUGGGCGCAACCCUGAGGCAGCCACGCCGCGUGAAUGAAGAAGGUUUUCGGGUUGUAAAGUUCUUUCGGUAUUGAGGCGGUAACUACAGAAGAAGCACCGGCUAACUCCGUGCCAGCAGCCGCGGUAAUUC